GAUGAACGCUGGCGGCGUGCCUAAUACAUGCAAGUCGAGCGAAUGGAUUAAGAGCUUGCUCUUAUGAAGUUAGCGGCGGACGGGUGAGUAACACGUGGGUAACCUGCCCAUAAGACUGGGAUAACUCCGGGAAACCGGGGCUAAUACCGGAUAACAUUUUGAACCGCAUGGUUCGAAAUUGAAAGGCGGCUUCGGCUGUCACUUAUGGAUGGACCCGCGUCGCAUUAGCUAGUUGGUGAGGUAACGGCUCACCAAGGCAACGAUGCGUAGCCGACCUGAGAGGGUGAUCCGCCACACUGGGACCGAGACACGGCCCAGACUCCUACGGGAGGCAGCAGUAGGGAAUCUUCCGCAAUGGACGAAAGUCUGACGGAGCAACGCCGCGUGAGUGAUGAAGGCUUUCGGGUCGUAAAACUCUGUUGUUAGGGAAGAACAAGUGCUAGUUGAAUAAGCUGGCACCUUGACGGUACCUAACCAGAAAGCCACGGCUAACUACGUGCCAGCCGCCGCGGUAA
rnacentral:rRNA from 1 species